CCUACGGGGGGCAGCAGUGGGGAAUAUUGGACAAUGGGGGGAACCCUGAUCCAGCCAUGCCGCGUGUGUGAAGAAGGCCCUCGGGUUGUAAAGCACUUUCAGUGAGGAAGAACGCCUGGUGGUUAAUACCCAUCAGGAAAGACAUCACUCACAGAAGAAGCACCGGCUAACUCCGUGCCAGCAGCCGCGGUAAUACGGAGGGUGCGAGCGUUAAUCGGAAUUACUGGGCGUAAAGCGCGCGUAGGUGGCUUGAUAAGCCGGUUGUGAAAGCCCCGGGCUCAACCUGGGAACGGCAUCCGGAACUGUCAAGCUAGAGUGCAGGAGAGGAAGGUAGAAUUCCCGGUGUAGCGGUGAAAUGCGUAGAGAUCGGGAGGAAUACCAGUGGCGAAGGCGGCCUUCUGGACUGACACUGACGCUGAGGUGCGAAAGCGUGGGUAGCAAACAGGAUUAGAUACCCUGGUAGUC
rnacentral:rRNA from 1 species